UACGGGGGGGGCAAGCGUUGUUCGGAAUUACUGGGCGUAAAGGGUUCGUAGGUGGCCAACUAAGUCAGACGUGAAAUCCCUCAGCUCAACUGGGGAACUGCGUCUGAUACUGGUCGGCUUGAGUGCAGGAGAGGAACGCGGAAUUCCAGGUGUAGCGGUGAAAUGCGUAGAUAUCUGGAGGAACACCGGUGGCGAAGGCGGCGUUCUGGACAGAAACUGACGCUGAGGCGCGAAAGCUAGGGGAGCAAACAGG
rnacentral:rRNA from 1 species